rnacentral:rRNA from 1 species
CAGCCGCCGCGGGAAUACGAGGGGGGCAAGCGUUGUUCGGAAUUAUUGGGCGUAAAGGGUGCGUAGGCGGCUUGACAAGUCUUGUGUGAAAUCUAUGGGCUCAACCCAUAGUCUGCACGGGAAACUGUCGGGCUUGAGAAUGGGAGAGGUGAGUGGAAUUUCCGGUGUAGCGGUGAAAUGCGUAGAUAUCGGAAGGAACACCUGUGGCGAAAGCGGCUCACUGGACCAUUUCUGACGCUGAUGCACGAAAGCUAGGGGAGCAAACAGGAUUAGAUACCCCCGUAGUCCCUGUCUCUUAUAU